CAAUGCCUUGAGUUCAGUUCAGGGCAAGCCUCCCUGUUCAUUUAAUUAAAUCUUGGGACAUGAUCAGGCUACGGAAGACGAUUACAUGGAAGAUAUCACUCUAUUCAUUGAUCUCCCAGCCUACAAAA
ensembl:snoRNA